AUUGAACGCUGGCGGCAUGCUUUACACAUGCAAGUCGGACGAGUGGCGAACGGGUGAGUAAUAUAUUGGAACCUACCGUGUAAUGGGGGAUAACCAAUCGAAAGAUUGGCUAAUACCGCAUAUUAUGCGAUCGGCCCAUAUCUGAUUAGCUAGUUGGUGGGGUAAAGGCCUACCAAGGCGACGAUCCGUAGCUGGUCUGAGAGGAUGACCCGCCACACUGGGACUGAGACACGGCCCAGACUCCUACGGGAGGCAGCAGUGGGGAAUUUUGGACAAUGGGCGCAAGCCUGAUGCAGCCAUGCCGCGUGUGUGAAGAAGGCCUUCGGGUUGUAAAGUACUUUCGUUGGGGAGGCGGUACCUAAAGAAUAAGCACCGGCUAACUACGUGCCAGCAGCCGCGGUAAUAC
rnacentral:rRNA from 1 species